UAUUAAAAAUUUUAUUUAUUUUUAUUGUUAAAAAGCGAAGUUGUUGACAAAAUAGUCAGGUAAUAACACAUAGUAUGUCACAUGCGCCUCAUUUUGAAAUACAUGAAUUGAUUUUUAACAGUAAAAAUCAUUUGAAUUUUUAAUG
rnacentral:pre_miRNA from 1 species